GACGAACGCUGGCGGCGUGCUUAACACAUGCAAGUCGAACGGAAAGGCUCCAGCUUGCUGGGGUACUCGAGUGGCGAACGGGUGAGUAACACGUGGGUGAUCUGCCCUGCACUUCGGGAUAAGCCUGGGAAACUGGGGCUAAUACCGGAUAGGACCGCACUUUGGUGUGUGUGGUGGAGAGGGUUUUCUGGGUUGGGAUGAGCUCGCGGCCUAUCAGUUUGUUGGUGGGGUAAUGGCCUACCAAGACGGCGACGGGUAGCCGGGCUGAGAGGGUGGACGGGCAACAUGGGGCUGAGGUACGGCCCAGACUCCUACGGGGGGCAGCAGGUGGGAAUAUUGCACAAUGGGGGAAAACCUGAUGCAGCGACGCCGCGGGGGGGAUGAAGGCCUUCGGGUUGUAAACCCGCUUCGCUAGGGACGAAGCUUUUUGUGACGGUAACUGGAGAAGAAGCACCGGCUAACUACGUG
rnacentral:rRNA from 1 species